rnacentral:rRNA from 1 species
UCGAGCGGAUGACAGGAGCUUGCUCCUUGAUUCAGCGGCGGACGGGUGAGUAAUGCCUAGGAAUCUGCCUGGUAGUGGGGGACAACGUUUCGAAAGGAACGCUAAUACCGCAUACGUCCUACGGGAGAAAGCAGGGGACCUUCGGGCCUUGCGCUAUCAGAUGAGCCUAGGUCGGAUUAGCUAGUUGGUGGGGUAAUGGCUCACCAAGGCGACGAUCCGUAACUGGUCUGAGAGGAUGAUCAGUCACACUGGAACUGAGACACGGUCCAGACUCCUACGGGAGGCAGCAGUGGGGAAUAUUGGACAAUGGGCGAAAGCCUGAUCCAGCCAUGCCGCGUGUGUGAAGAAGGUCUUCGGAUUGUAAAGCACUUUAAGUUGGGAGGAAGGGCAGUAAGUUAAUACCUUGCUGUUUUGACGUUACCGACAGAAUAAGCACCGGCUAACUCUGUG